AACAGAACUUUGUUCUUAGGCUGUGUUCAUUUGAACCAGAGAAGCUCGAUUCUUCGGAAUUGGGUGAGGUUACUUUAUCCUCAAUCUAUCUAUCCCCUCCUGUUAUGUACAUCUAGGUACAUAAAAAUUGGUAUCAGAUUCGUUCGAUCCAUGGAGGUAUUCACUGGAACUCAUCAACAGAUCUCUGCAAUUCAGAGUUUACCAAGUGAAAAAUGGGUACAAAUGAAUGGAAAAUUGGUACCAAUAUUGAAACUGGAAAGUUUAGCAAGUGAUGAAUUCGACACUUGCGUUUCUGGUAUCUGUUUUAUUUGAUGGACAAAAACUGUGUAAAUAGAGAGGACGGCCUCCGAAGGUGGGGCAAAUUGUUAGACAGAGUGGAGAAGAAAUUGGAUAAGAUCUUGUUUCUUAAGGAUACUGCUUUAUCUCAGCAACCUCCUCACCGAGUGAAAGUUGCUUCUACACAUAGUGAUGAAUCUUCAGAUUUGGAGUUGAUACCUCAAAAUUUCUUUGCUGAAAACGAAGAUGUUGAGUCACUUGAUGAUGUGAGAUUCUAGUCUGAAGCAGUUGCUAAAACUGAGAUGAUAGACUUCUCCGAGUUGAAUUGAACCAAAAUUGGUGAGGUGAACGAUUCUGCUCUAGAAUUUUACUUCAACAAGUUUGGGGAGAAAUUCGAAAAUCAUGAAUGCUUCAAGGAGUUAUUGUCUAUUCUCUACAGCAAAUCAAAUUAUGUGGCUCGUUCUUCUUUUCCACUUAAUGACACUCGUUCAUUAUUCGACAGAGAGAUCGACAUCAUUGUAUGGGUUUCUUGUUUUGCUACAAUUGAUACUCGCUCCUUACUUGAUCGAGGUAAGUGUACUGUGUCACCAUCACUUACUUAUGAGACAUGUCUUCUUCAAUUGCUUAUUAGCCUACGACAUGACUCAGAAUUGCAGUUUAUACAUUCGUUUCCUCAUUUAAGUGUUUAUGAUUUUGCAAUACAUGCUGCGAAGAAAAUGUUUGCUCAAAUAACUGAAAGAGAUUAUUCUUACUGGCUAGAGUAAUUACUUUUGAGCUGGAUAAUCAAUUGAUGUUUCAUAUGGUUGAUAUGUGGAGAGCAGUAAAUUUUAUUUUUCUAAUGCUCCACAAGAUUCCGUUCACUUCAACCAUCUUCUCUCCUAGUUUCAUCCAAGAGCAUUGUCGUAAUCGUGGAAAAGGAUUCGAACUAAUUCAGAGACUUUCUUAUUCUGUGGUUGCCUAUGAAUUCAGUUUUGGUCUAUCUAAUUCUUGCUCAAUUGUACCUGCUUGUAUGAUUUAUACUGGUGGUGGAAAUGAUUUUAUCUUACUACUUACAACAGCGCAAAUAAGUUACAAGUUCAUAGUGAAUGAAUGUCUCUUCCUUAUCAUCAAAUUUACUCGCUGGAUAUAUGAUAGAGGAAAGUUGUUAGCUAAUCAAGGGUAUUUUACUUAUUUGGUAAAAUAAGUAAAAUACAGUUGGUAGUAUUUAGCUAAUUAGUGUAAGUUACAGUUGGUAGUAUUUAGCUAAUUAGUGUAAGUUACAGUUGGUAGUAUUUAGCUAAUUAGUGUUUGUGACGUCCUUGCCGUGGGGAUUAAUUUUGUUUCUUAUGGCCUUCUGGGAUGCAGGGAAUGUCAGAAGAUUGUGUCGGCAUUCUCCUUUUGCGAGGCCUCAUAUGGUGUUUAUUGGAGUUUACUUCUCUCUUUCCAGGCUUGUGAACUCAUAUUGUACCUCAGCUGGCAAUGCUUAUUUACAACUACUUAAAGUUGAAGGUGGCCAGGUAUUUCUGCACUCUGUCAUAAGGACUGGCCCUUGCUACUUACACUAUAAUCAACCUGAAUCUUAUGGCUAUAUUCACCUGUGGAGUCUGAAUAGUGUUGUCUGUGGAAGCUGAGAAUAGUAUUGGUAGUCGUAAGCUGUAUGAGAGACAUAUUCUUGUGCUUCAGAUUCUUUCGAAACAACGUGAAAUCCUCUUGGCGGUCCUUCCAGCUUCUAUCUCCAAUGUGAGCAGUCAUUUUUAGCUCCACACUACAGGGGCCAACUUUUAAUUCGCCUCACUGAGGGUAUUUCCUUUGAGAUGGAAGCUUGCAGCAGAUAAUGAUGCUCAUCCCAAUGAUAUACUGGAGCGAAGUCCUGGUCAGGUUACACUAUGGCUUACAGUCAAGGAUUGUAUUGGUAGUCAAUUUCUGAGAGCUAGAAUAAUGAAGGGGCAGCUAGCCUUUCUCCUCAUAUCCGAGGCCAGGUUUGAUUUUGCUACUGGCAGUAUUUAUAGCAUGGAAAUAGUUAUAUCUUUGGGGAUGAUACUGGUCGCACGGGAGCUUCGGCAACUUACACAAAAGGGUAGCAAGCACUGUACAGGUCAAAGGAGUAGUACGAUGUGGAAAGUACUUGGAGAAUUAUAUUUUUACUUUAGCUGGCAAGGAAGCAUCACCUCUUAUUCAAGACUUUUACACAAAGAAUUGUCAGUUACCAAGGGUGUCUCAUUGUACUAUCACAGCAGUUUUGACUCUUGCAUAUGGUUCAACAACAGCUGAAGGAGAUAGUGGGCACUACCACCACAGCUUCACGUUUUCACAACUGCACCGCCAGGCUCCAAAACAACCUUGCGUAACUGAAGUUGCCGACUCGCCGCUCAUCCUUGAGGACAAGGAUGUUUUGAAGGGGAAGGGAAUGUCAUGUACCUACUAUAUGUGAGAGAGUGCCCAUAUCCUGUUGAGUGUCGGUAUUUAGUGUAAGUUACAGUUGGUAGUAUUUAGCUAAUUAGUGUUUGCUAUUAUCAGUUGUAGGGGGUGCCUUGGAUGCAACCACCUGGACUAUUUUUAUUCGUUGGAUGUUAGGAUAGAAUACGUAAAUAUAUAAGCUCAGAGUCUGUAAGAGAAAGGUAAUCCAAAAUUAUUAAUCAAAACAUAACUUUGUUCUUA